rnacentral:snRNA from 1 species
GUGCUCACUUCAGCAGCACAUAUACUAAAUUUGGAACAAUACAGAGAAGAUUAGCACGGCCCCUACGCAACAAUGACACACAAAUUCAUGAAGCGUUCCAUAUAUGU